AGAGUUUGAUCCUGGCUCAGAACGUACGCUGGCGGCACGCCUAAUACAUGCAAGUCGAACGAAGUAGCAAUACUUAGUGGCAGACGGGUGAGUAACAUGUGGGUAUCUUCCCUUUGGUGAGGAAUAACACGAGGAAACUUGUGCUAAUACCUCAUAAGUCUUUACAGAGAAAGCUUUAUGCGCCAUUGGAUGAGCCCGCACUUGAUUAGUUUGUUGGUGGGGUAAUGGCCUACCAAGACAAUGAUCAAUAGCUGAUUUGAGAGGAUGAUCAGCCACAUUGGGACUGAGACACGGCCCAAACUCCUACGGGAGGCAGCAGUAGGGAAUCUUGCACAAUGGAGGAAACUCUGAUGCAGCGAUGCCGCGUGAGUGAAGAAGGCCUUUGGGUUGUAAAGCUCUUUCGUCGGGGAAGAAAAUGACUGUACCCGAAUAAGAAGGUCCGGCUAACUUCGUGCCAGCAGCCGCGGUAAUACGAAGGGACCUAGCGUAGUUCGGAAUUACUGGGCUUAAAGAGUUCGUAGGUGGUUAAAAAAGUUGAUGGUGAAAUCCCAGAGCUUAACUCUGGAACUGCCAUCAAAACUUUUUAGCUAGAGUAUGAUAGAGGAAAGCAGAAUUUCUAGUGUAGAGGUGAAAUUCGUAGAUAUUAGAAAGAAUACCAAUUGCGAAGGCAGCUUUCUGGAUCAUUACUGACACUGAGGAACGAAAGCAUGGGUAGCGAAGAGGAUUAGAUACCCUCGUAGUCCAUGCCGUAAACGAUGUGUGUUAGACGUUGGAAAUUUAUUUUCAGUGUCGCAGCGAAAGCAAUAAACACACCGCCUGGGGAGUACGACCGCAAGGUUAAAACUCAAAUGAAUUGACGGGGACCCGCACAAGUAGUGGAGCAUGUGGUUUAAUUCGAAGAUACGCGCAGAACCUUACCAACACUUGACAUGUUCGUCGCGACUCUAAGAGAUUAGAGUUUUCGGUUCGGCCGGACGAAACACAGGUGCUGCAUGGCUGUCGUCAGCUCGUGUCGUGAGAUGUUGGGUUAAGUCCCGCAACGAGCGCAACCCUUACUUUUAGUUGCCAUCAUUUAGUUGGGCACUCUGAAAGAACUGCCAGUGAUAAGCUGGAGGAAGGUGGGGAUGACGUCAAGUCCUCAUGGCCCUUACGUGUUGGGCUACACACGUGCUACAAUGGUAUCUACAACAGGAAGCAAAACAGCGAUGUUAAGCAAAUCCCGAAAAGAUACCUCAGUUCGGAUUGCACUCUGCAACUCGAGUGCAUGAAGCUGGAAUUACUAGUAAUCGUGGAUCAGCGUGCCACGGUGAAUACGUUCCCGGGUCUUGUACACACCGCCCGUCACACCAUGGGAGUUGGUUCUACCUUAAGGCAAAGCUUAAAACCUUUGACCACGGUAUAGUCAGCGACUGGGGUGAAGUCGUAACAAGGUAACC
rnacentral:rRNA from 1 species